GCUGUUUCUUCCUCUGGGUCUUCCUCCGUCGGUUGAGAACGGUGUCCCGGGGGCCCUCCCAGAGAGCAGGGACUGCCAGGGCAGGCCAGGGACCCGGCGAGCCGCGGAGGGCGGGGCCACAUGUGUCCCGGAGCUGGGCCGGGGCGCUAGGCCACCUGAGGCGCGUCCCCUCUGCCGCCUGGCGAGGCUGCGCGGGAGGGCGGAGAGACUGGGUAGUCGGAGGGAUUCCUUACACCCAGGCCGGUGGGCCAGGGCUCGGGAUGUGUCGAGCUGCUGGAGUCCAAAGUCAGGCAUUUCCCUGCCUCUGCCCGGUAGAAGAAGAGUGCCUCUAAGCAGAAACGAAGGGGAAGUGCACCUGUGCUACCAGCAGACACCUUGCUAGACCCUUCAGACAUCUUCCUUAAUCCUCACAACCAGCCUGAAAGGGACGUGGCAUCCCCAUUCUACAAGUGAGGGUUCCGAUUCGGAGGGUUUGACUUGCUCAAGGCCACAAAGCUAGUAAAUGGUAAAGUCAACACUGGCAAUCUUUGAGGACUGUUCGCCUGACUCAUCACCAGGCUGCCACUCAGUAAAAGCCAAGGCACAGUCACCUUUAACAAAAUGUACAGAUUGCAGGCCAGAUUUAUGGGACCUCCUGCAGAUUGAGGCAAUGGAUUAAGUGUACUUUAUACUUCUCAGGUACAUAUUAGCAACCAGACGCUCCCAUAUUCCCUCUGUGUCUCUCCUGGAAAACCACUGAUAAAGAACAAUAAUAAAAUUUAUUCUAAGCCA